GACGAACGCUGGCGGCGUGCCUAACACAUGCAAGUCGAACGGAAAGGCCCUGCUUUUGUUGGGUGCUCGAGUGUCGAACGGGUGAGUAACACGUGUGUAACCUGCCCUUGACUUUGGGAUAACUUCAGGAAACUGGGGCUAAUACCGGAUAGGAGCUCCUGCUGCAUGGUGGGGGUUGGAAAGUUUCGGCGGUUGGGGAUGGACUCGCGGCUUAUCAUCUUGUUGGUGGGGUAGUGGCUUACCAAGGCUUUGACGGGUAGCCGGCCUGAGAGGGUGACCGGACACAUUGGGACUGAGAUACGGCCCAGAGUACUAGGGGAGGCAGGAGUGGGGAAUAUAGCACGAUGGGCGGAAGCCUGAUGCAGGAAAGCCGCGUGAGGGAUAUCGGCCUUCGGGUUGUAAACCGCUUUCGCCUGUGACGAAGCGUGAGUGACGGUAAUGGGUAAAGAAGCACCGGCUAACUACGUG
rnacentral:rRNA from 1 species